rnacentral:misc_RNA from 1 species
GAUGGAGAACGCAGCGAAAUGCGAUAAGUAGUGUGAAUUGCAGAAUUCAGUGAAUCAUCGAAUCUUUGAACGCACAUUGCGCCCCUUGGUAUUCCAUGGGGCAUGCCUGUUCGAGCGUCAUUUGUACCUUCAAGCUUUGCUUGGUGUUGGGUGUUUGUCUCGCCUUUGCGUGUAGACUCGCCUUAAAAUAAUUGGCAGCCGGCGUAUUGAUUUCGGAGCGCAGUACAUCUCGCGCUUUGCACUCAUAACGACAGCGUCCAAAAGUACAUUUUACACUCUUGACCUCGGAUCAGGUAGGGAUACCCGCUGAACUUAAGCAUAUCAAUAAGCGGAGGA